rnacentral:rRNA from 1 species
AGCAGCCGCGGUAAUUCCAGCUCCAAUAGCGUAUAUUAAAGUUGUUGCAGUUAAAAAGCUCGUAGUUGAAUUUCGGGAUCAGUUUGUUGGUCGUGCUUCGGUACGUACUGUCAUUACUGGUUUCUCCCUUCUGAAGAACCUUGAUGUCAUUAAUUAGGUGUCUUGGGGAAUCAGGACUGUUACUUUGAAAAAAUUAGAGUGUUUAAAGCAGGCAUACGCUUGAAUACAUUAGCAUGGAAUAAUGAAAUAGGACGUUUGAUUCUAUUUUGUUGGUUUCUAGGAUCGACGUAAUGAUUAAUAGGGAUAGUUGGGGGCAUUAGUAUUCAAUUGUCAGAGGUGAAAUUCUUGGAUUUAUUGAAGACUAACUACUGCGAAAGCAUUUGCCAAGGAUGUUUUCAUUAAUCAAGAACGAAAGUUAGGGGAUCGAAGACGAUCAGAUACCGUCGUAGUCUUAACCAUAAACUAUGCCGACUAGGGAUCGGAUGAUGUUAUUUUAAUGACUCAUUCGGCGCCUUACGGG